rnacentral:rRNA from 1 species
UAAUACGUAGGUCCCGAGCGUUGUCCGGAUUUAUUGGGCGUAAAGCGAGCGCAGGUGGUUUCUUAAGUCUGGUGUCAAAGGCUACUGCUCAACAGUAGUGUGCAUUGGAAACUGGGAGACUUGAGUGCAGGAGAGGAGAGUGGAAUUCCAUGUGUAGCGGUGAAAUGCGUAGAUAUAUGGAGGAACACCGGAGGCGAAAGCGGCUCUCUGGCCUGUAACUGACACUGAGGCUCGAAAGCGUGGGGAGCAAACAGGAUUAGAUACCCUGGUAGUCCACGCCGUAAACGAUGAGUGCUAGAUGUGGGGAGCUAUAAGUUCUCCGUAUCGCAGCUAACGCAAUAAGCACUCCGCCUGGGGAGUACGACCGCAAGGUUGAAACUCAAAGGAAUUGACGG